UCUUGGACAAGAAAAUGACCUUGGAAAUGGAGACCACACAUGGUGGUGCAAUAAGAUAAAAGCCUUGGUUCCUGACACCGUGGAGCUCCAAAGAAACCCUGGACUGACAUGCUUGCCUGUAUGUUACCUGAGGUUUCAGCUUUCUGAGUCUCCCAGCUUAUUAAUGAAUCUGAUUUCAUUAACUCCUGGCUGGUAGACCCCCAAACUGAGGCCAUGACUGGAGCCCAUUUGGGCCAGUCUCAUGGAACCACUUGCCGAACACCCAAGAGGGAAAAUAUCUGUUUAUCUUGGAAUGGAAGUUCUCACUCUUACAAGGUGUGCUGCUGGCAAUGCAGAAGGGCUGUCUUCCCCACGAUGAACUGGACGCUCUACUCCUCACCACCCAGAAACCUGAGCAGAAGGCGGGACUUAGCUCCGUGCUCUGGGCUUGUGGAUUUUCCCUUCCCCCAUGCUCCUCUGCCCUCCCUGGUGCCUAUCAGGGACAGGGAGUGAUUGAAAUUAUUGAUUCAAUCCGUUUAUCCUCCUACCCCGGUGCAUCUCGGCUGGACCACUGAUUCUAGGGCCGAGCCUCGGCACGGUCCGCUGGCUUCCUCCACUUGGUGCCGAGGGCAAAUGGAGCUGCAGAAACUCCUGGGGAGUCAGCAACGAAGACCAAGGACUGGGCUGGCAAUGGACUCCGGUUCCCAAGCCAGCUGCAGCUACUGAAUCCAGGGAAAUUGUGACGCAGCCGGCUGUUCCAAAGGCCGGGCCCGUCAGCUCGAUCCACUGCAAAAGAGGCAGACUUGACUCUCACCCUCCAAGUCCAAAGUUCCUCCAAACCUGCAUCCUGAGCUCUUACAAGGAAUCCCUGUGGGAAUACUCCCUCCCAUAGUAUGGAAUAAGUCAUAGCCACAAGAAGGAAGACAUUGCUGUUCCUUGAGUGACAAUAAAAGCAUCAUCUUGGGGGCAAUUGUGACUGGACUUAUCGUAAAUGCCUUCCUCUUCUACUAGAUUCCCGAAGUUCUCCUGCCCGCCUGCAUUUAUUUCCCAAGAAUUCUGUGCAGCUGAAGUAAUGUGCAUGAAUAUUGCGUAACAUUCUGUGGACGGAUACCAUAUCGUAGAAAUAAUUUAAUUGACGACCUGUAAUGAAAAGAG